rnacentral:rRNA from 1 species
UACGUAGGGCGCAAGCGUUGUCCGGAAUUAUUGGGCGUAAAGAGCUCGUAGGCGGUUUGUCGCGUCUGCUGUGAAAACCCGAGGCUCAACCUCGGGCCUGCAGUGGGUACGGGCAGACUAGAGUGCGGUAGGGGAGAUUGGAAUUCCUGGUGUAGCGGUGGAAUGCGCAGAUAUCAGGAGGAACACCGAUGGCGAAGGCAGAUCUCUGGGCCGUAACUGACGCUGAGGAGCGAAAGCAUGGGGAGCGAACAGG